rnacentral:lncRNA from 1 species
CUGAAAUCAGAGCAUCUAGUAGUGGAACUCAUGAGAAAGACAAGGGAAUUACAGAAAAUUCACUUUUAGGGUUUUUGGUGGUAUGAAGUAAUGGGAGAUAUCUGAUCCAGGUGUGAGAAGACAUGGGGGCAGAGUGGCUCAAUUAUGAAAGCACAUUCUACCCUUUGUAGGUUUUCAAAAAAUAACGUGUUUGUAAAAAUACAUCAAUAGUAUUUUAUGUCUAAGUGUGUUGUGGGUACCUUAAUGUUUCUUUUUAAAUCUCAAUAUACAAUGUAUUUAUACCUUUUUGAUGUAUCACAUUUUGUAUUAAGAACAAAGAAUACUUUAUGCAGACAGUUUAUUAUCUGAUAAAUUUUAUGUUGUCUUCUUAUGUUUAGGCACCAGACUGUCACGUGUAUAAAGAUCGAUUGCAUUUAUGCAACAGAGAAAGGAAGCUGAUCUGCGCAACCAAUGGCCAGACUUAUCGCAAUCCAUGCAUUUUCUGCAGGGAAAGGAUCGCUUCUCGUGGAAGAUUUGAUUUUACUCGUUAUGGUGCAUGCUGACUCUGCUAGAGCUACACGUUCCUAUGCCUUUUAUUGCAAUCCCAUUUUGUGGUGGAUUCUACAAGCAAUUAGAGUCUUCUCAAUCAGAACUUUAAAUUACCAGAUGACCAAAGAAAGCCUGCUGUUGCAUACAGGAUGGACUGUAGGAUGUUGAAGAAUAUUUCUAAUUCUAAGAAUCUGUGAUUGAAAGAUUUUUAUCCUCUAUGUUGAUUUAUCAGUGGCAGUUGAAAAACUAUCUUUCAUUUUAUUUGAUAAUAUAAAGCCUAAUGUAAUUUACAACCACAAAUAUUUUAAUCAAUAGAAGUUACAUAAUAGCAUCUUUCUUAAAAUACCGUUUCUUUCUUUGGUAGGUUACCGGGUGCAGCACACAAAUACUUUUGGUAAUAAUAUUAAAGAAAUAUUUUCAAAGAUGAACACAUAAUGCAUUACUUCGAUGUUUAUUAACAGUACAGACACUUGGGCUCUUCUUUAUCCUAAAGAAUCAAAACCUCUAGGAGAGAGAUCUGGGAGCUUGACUUAUAACAAGUACUCCAGGUCAAUCUAUGAUCCUAAAGGUUAGGAAAUAUAGACUUCAAUUCUAAAAUAUAGGACAUGUGUACAAUUGAAUGAAUUGCAGAGCCCAUCCAAUGAUAUUGCACAGCAUCUGAGGUUUGGGAGAAGAAGUUAUAUUGCUUUCUUUAUCUCUCACAAAUCAGUCCAAAGAUAGUUUGGUAACCCUGGGAUGCCAGGCAACUCUGCCUUCAUCCAUCUAGGAUUUUCGUUAGUGGUCCAAGUCCUAAGCUUCUCCAUUUCUCUCCGUCUCUCAGCCAGGGAGAAGCAGGUUUUAUUUGGGUGGGCAAAUGUUCAUUUAAGGCAUGAUUCUAGUGGCAGAAUUGUAGAUUGACUACUGGAAGAGAAGUAUCAAUCUACUACAUAUAUGAUAUCAGGCCUGCUCUUCUUUUGACUAAACAUUUCACCUCUAAAAGAGUGAUCUCUCUGGGAGGUGCUCAUUCGUUUACCUUCUUUAGUAUUAAUUCUUAACGAAAACAUUUAGUAGAAAGUACCUUUUUAGAGCCACAUGAUAAAAAUGCACUCACUUUCAUGGCCAUUUUCAUUACAGAGAACCCAUAUAAAAAACAUUAUUCAGUGAAUUUUGACACAUUCAUAUACAUAUA